rnacentral:snRNA from 1 species
AGCUUUCUUGAUAUCGGCUUGAAC